GCCCCCUGCAUGAAGCACCACUAUGUCCGGAAUCUGUCCCAAAAUAAUUUUGUGAAACAUUUCCUCACAUAUAACAUUCCAACCCCAGCCCCGGUAACCAAACAACCGAAGCUGCACCACAGAACUUGUAAAGCCCAGCUGUAGACCGUGACGUCGAACUGCAGCUCUCCGUUGCGCCCAUUGUACGUAUGAGUGGCUGACCACCCAUGCCAU